rnacentral:tRNA from 1 species
AUCAACUCUGAGAUGCAGGUACAUCCAGCUGACGAGUUCCAAAUAGGACGAAACGCGCGUCCUGGAUUCCACU